rnacentral:lncRNA from 1 species
GAAUGCUUGGCUUUGUUUUGUAUAUAUAAAAAAGUUUGUGUGUCUGGCCUUUUUCCCAAGUUAUUUUUGCUCCAUCUGUUUGAGCCUAGAUUAUAAUGUCCCCCACAUGAAUACACACCAAAAACCUUUACAGAGGUAUGCAUCUACAAGUUUCACUAUUACAAGAGGAGUUUGUCUGUUGAAAUUGAGUCCAGGAAUACUAUACAAGCAACAAGCAGUAUUUCAGGAAUCCUGGAUGCCAUCUGCCUUUAACCUUCCAGCUUUAUUACCAAAUCUUAACCACAUGGAUGCCUGUUCAGACCAAGAAGACUUUUCUCCCCUCUGAAGGCUCUGCUCCUCUACCAGGUACUCCUAGGUUGGUUUAGCAAUCCAGGUGAGUUGAGGAACACAUGGGAAGUUCCUUAACGUCAAUCAAGUCUUGUAACUCUGAUACAUGCUAUAUUUUCUGUUGUUAGACACUUUUUCUUGGUCAGUUUUAUGAGCUCCGUGCAUCAUACUUUCAGAUGGGGUGAUUUACAAGUGAGAAGCUGCAGAGUUCCUGAAGAGUCAGGAGUUUAUUUAAGGCACAAAUACAUCUCUGCUGCAAGUAGUAUUGUUUUGUUAUAUGAAUGAAUAGAGAAGCUGGAUUCACUUACAGCUUACAUGUAACCCUGACACAUCACCUGAGCUCUAGCUCAUCAUCUUUGGGGGCACACAGAUUUCUGUCAACCUGUAUUACUUGUCUAACUCAUUACAUGAUAUGCCAUAGGUUUGAUGUAACAUGCCCGAAGUAUAAUUUUUCUAAAACCUGCAAUUUAUACAAACUGUCACCCGUAAUCUGACUAAAU